CAGGCAGCUCCUAUUUAAGUGAUUUCUAGAUUGAGAACGGCUGUGGCUGGAGAAAUGGAACUGGGCUUUCCAAAGAUGUGAUGAACCUCACUUCAUUUAUGUUUUCAUCACUUUUUCACACAGGGCCAUUUAGGUUUGGAUUCUUUUCUCCCCUUAAUGAUAAAAACUGCAUUUUGUGUUUACUUGCGUUAUCUGUGUCUAAUAUUUACAUUAGUUUGAUGAUCUGAAACAUUUAAGUGUGACAUGCAGGCAUGAAAACGGGUCACGGGUAAAAAAGGUGAGACGGAUGUUUCCCCUCUAGGGGUUUUCAGCUGGUUUUGUCCCAGGGACCAACAUUCUAAAUAGAAAGUCACUGGCCUGUAACCGCCCCCCCACAUAUUACGCCUGUAGCACUUGUCAGUGGAAUCUCUUCCAUAUUCUUCUGGAUAUUCAGUGACUGAAUCUCUUCAGCUGGACGCAUCGGUCUUAAUGUGCCGGUAAUGAUGGUAAAUGAUGCUUGUAGCUGGUUGUCAUCGACGCUCCACUACGGUUACAUAAAGGUGGCGUUUGUGUUUUCACAACGUUUUAUCUCAUAAUUUAGACUUUCUAUCCCCUUUCUUCAGUGUGGAAAUGGGCUUCUAUAGUUGUGUGAAUGCAUCACUCCAGCCAAUCCAAAGACGGGGUUUGUAACCAAUCAGGUGUAGAGACCAUGGUGACUGGCUCCGCCCCCUUACUGUCAGAAAGAACAACAGCGAGCGCGUAGAAAACUCCUUCGAGCGCGAGCAGAGAUUCUCCUCGCGAGCAACGAAGGUCACGUUCAAAAGUCCGUCUCACGAGAGAUAUUUAUUUAUUUAUUUGUUUAUUUGCUCGCGGAUGUUUGAUUUACGCAUCAACCUGAUUUGCGCUCUGGAAUUUUGGCAGUGAUUUGCUGCCAUACCCCCCCCAAAAAAAAGGUGAGGGAUUUUCAUGCCUGAACAUGAAAGAAAUGAGGAAUCAGGAAGGCAGCAAACACUUUAUCACACAACUGUAACACAUAAAAGCAGAAGCCAUUUUCCAGUGAGGCUGAAUGAGGCGAGUCGGAGGACGUCCACGUUGUCCCAUUGAUCAGGUGGACUGCAGUGUCUCCCCGUUGUACUACUUCAUGGGGGGGCACCCCUGUUAUAAUGAUGGAAACACUGAACUGGCUUCGGUCGCUUAUCAAAACAUCGGCCAAAUAAGCCGUUUUUCAGACUUUAUGAGCAAAUACAGAAUCCCUUUGUGUUCAUUUCUAAAGCUGCAUAAAGACACACGUGACUUUAUUUAAGGCGCUGCGCUACUUGCAAGUCGCUGUGUUGUGG
ensembl:lncRNA